rnacentral:rRNA from 1 species
AACGAACGCUGGCGGCGUGGAUUAGGCAUGCAAGUCGAACGAUAUCCAGGGCUAUAGCAAUAUAAUCCUGGUGACAGUGGCGAAAGGGUGAGUAAUGCGCGGGUAAUCUGCCCUUAAGUUGGGGAUAACAUUCCGAAAGGAGUGCUAAUACCGAAUGUGGUCGUCCUUCACAUGAAGGAUUAUCUGAAGACGGGGAUCCGUAAGGACCUGUCGCUUGAGGAUGAGCCCACGUACUAUCAGCUAGUUGGUGAGGUGACGGCUCACCAAGGCUAUGACGGUUAGCUGGUCUGAGAGGAUGGUCAGCCACACUGGGACUGAGACACUGCCCAGACUCCUACGGGAGCAG